rnacentral:pre_miRNA from 1 species
AAUGAAAUUGCUGGGUCAUAUGGUAAAUUUUACUUUUUAAAGAAACUGUCAAACAGUUUUCCAAAAUCAAUGUACCAUUUUACAUUCCCACCAGAAAU